GAAGUGAGGAAAAGCUGUUUAAUGCGAUUAACGUAGGAUAAUUGACACCAAAACACCAUUAAGGGGUGCCAAUGCACUUCCCGGAAAAUAUGUGUCCGGGUGUUGUGUGGGUGCACAGCCCUCCCAGGAAGUAUGGUGUUUGUCCACCGGAUGGUAUUUGCGGGGAUGGGCGGAAGUAGUGACGGGGGAUGGGAUGAGCAGUGGAUGUGUGAGUGUGUGUUUGGUGCAGAAAGCAGAGGCCAGAAAAUUCCGAUGUUUGUCGUGUCCACUGCCUGGCACCACUGUUACACCAUAAUUCAUCGCCUUGAAAGUGUCACACAGGAGCUCCCCCAGGGGGCCACAGAGCAGGAAUUUCCCAUAGAUGCAGCAUCCUUGAUCAGAGAUUCGAAUUCGAGAUGCUAUUCCAAUUGGAAUUUUUUUGGGGGUUUCAAAAAGAAGAAGAAGAAGAAGAUGGUUCCCAGCAAGAAGUUACCUCGUUGGCAAAAGUUACACACAAACUCUAUUCCUCUUAUGCCCUGGAAGUGCGAAGAGAUCCGUGGCAGGGUAGUGAGUGUGUAAGAAUGAGAGAGAGAGGAGGCAAAAAGAGUGUGGAAUGCAGAACUCGAAGCUGUUGACCUCCUCAGAAAUGUGUGGUGUUGUAGUAAGAAAGCCCAAUAGGAUGGUGGAGACAGACAAGACUGUGUGUGCUGUAAAAGUGCCCCCAAAAAGACGGAUGGGUCCCCAUCCACAAAUACACACAUUCCGGAUCCCAAAAUCAAUUUUCUGCAUUUUAUUGGAGAAUUCCUUGGCCACGAAUCUCUUCGCAAUAAAAUCCCUGCAGCCAAGUGAUGGCCAAAAAUGCCCCCCAUCUGCUCAGACGUGUAUCGCGCGGGGGAAUGUCUCAUAGAACCGAGAGUGGACGAGGGAUGGCAUAAAAAUAGACACAUAGGAGACAUACAGAGCCACUUCGAAGGAAAUUAAUAGUCUGGCUGGUGUGAGGAAUGAGCUCUCUCUCUUGUUGCGCGCGAAGAAGAAAAAUUCGAGAUAUCUAAUCAGCUUUUUGUCCCGCAAAGUGACGAAAGUAUUUCAAAGUCGAACCCAGGCUUUAUGGAUGGAUCCGUCGUACAACAUUCCUCUUCUAUUCGCACCUCUACUAGGCUAGAGAGACAAGCCUAAAGAUUUUAUAUAUUCACUUACAUACAUUGAGAAGUGAAUUGGAAAUUUUCCAACAGCUCUUCUCCAAUACUGCACUCAAAUUCUCUCAAUUUGGGACGACACUACUUCUUUUUUUAUUUUAUUUUUUUUUGUACAAAAUACCCACAAAUCACUCGCGAAUAGCAAGGAAAAUUCCUCCCAAUGGGUUCAUGACCUCUGCGCUCAUCUCAAAUGUUCCCCUUCUGCAAGAAAAAAACGAAGAAAAAUUCAUGAAAAACUUUCUCACAGACUCGUCAAAAAAUCAUGUGCAAACAACUGCCCUACAUCCCAACCAUAUGGGCGCGAGAGAUCCCAUUCAGAGCUCCAGGGCUUGAUAACUCCACCACACAAGAUUUGGCGGAGGAAUUUUAAGUAUAUUCCCCUUGAGCGAUGAAGACGGAAAAAUUAAAGUUUUGUACUUCACAUAUUUUUUUUCGUGGAGGUUUUAUGGAUUUUCUGAUAAGAAAUCUCGGACGUAAGAGUUCCACAUUUUUUUAAAAAAGUUUUCUCAUUCAUAUACUCUGCCCAAAGUCAAAUUUCUCGACUCUUUGUGCUGAGAAUGUUGAUUUUUUAUUAAGUGGAUUAAUUGAGAUGUUUUUUUUUUGAAAGCUCUAUUCGAUUAAUACGUUGUAAAAUAUACUAAAGAAAAACUUUUAAAUAAAUUAUUAAACUCAUUUACAGUAUUUUAUUAAUUCUUAAUCUUUGAUUUGCGGAGCUUCUUAGUUUUCUAUUCAAUUUUGAAGUUACUAAAACUUUAAAGUAUGAUAUAAAAAUAUCAAAACAUCGCUGGAAACAUUUCGUUCGUUUCUCAUUCUAUUCUGGAUGUGUUUUCUACAUCAUUUUCUUCAAAAACAAUUAACUGAAUUACAGUUUAAAUAAUUAUUAAUUGAAAAAGGGAUAAGACCAGAAUACUUAUUCAUUGAUUUUUCAAUUUUUUAAAUGACUUUAAAAUACAUCAUUGCGUCAUUCCGUCAUUUGUAAUACUCAUAUUACAAUAUUCUCGACUAAAAACGCGGCAAAUAGUGAGAUAAUAAUAUUCAACGUAUAAUGUUUUUCUUCUACAAUGAUUAUGAAAUCAAAAUCAUUUUGCUUUCUGGGAAAAGAUCAUUCUUUUGGUUUAAUUUUUAAGUCUAACGUUCUCGCAGCACAAGAAAAAAAUACGUUUGAGUGGUGUGUGACAUUCAAGAAGCCACUUCUCCUUUUACAAAAGAAUAUCAUUUGAAUUUUUCCAUUAAUUAGUUCUCCACCAAAAAUGGUUACUAUCUACCGCGCAGCACAACACACACAAUUGUAUAAAUUAUCACUGCGCGAAUGGGAAAUGGCGAUUAUCUAAAAUGGAUGCGUCUUUAGUCUAUAUAAACUGACGGACUUGCUUAACUUAUCUGAUAAAUUCAUUUGAGAUUUUGUUAGAUAAAAUGUGGGAGAUAUUUUCGUGUGGCAUCAUCGCUUUUUUUUCCACGUGGUUUGAAAUUUCCUAAUCAGUGAAUAAAAUAUUUAUGAUGGCUGCUUGUCGACACAACACGUGAAAUUGUUGUUUGCUUCUCUAAUGAGAAUUCUAAGCGAGAGUGCUUUUUGGAUUAUGAUUUGGAACUGCUCUAAGCUGAGAGAAUUUAUUGCGGCGACGAGAGAAAAUUGUGAGACAUUCUUAUCAAAUUAUGAUAAUAUGACAGAAAAAACUGCCAAUUUCUUUAUUUUUUUUUAUUCUUCAGAAUUUGAAAAAAAAAUCUACGCCAAAAAAGUAAAUAUGAAAAGUUUUAAAAACUAAAAUUGAAAAAUGAAGAAAAUGUCAGAACAAAGUCAAUUUUUGAAAAGAAACGUCAAAAAUUCAAAUUGUUAAAAAUGUCAACUGUUAGAAUGAAAGAACAGAUAUAACAUAUUUGAAAAUAAAUGUCAAAAGUCAGAUAGAAACUGUCAAACGUUAGAAAUGAAACGUCAAACAUUCAAACUGUUAAAAAUGUCAACUGUUAGAAUGAAAGAACAGAUUUAAAAAUAAGUGACAAAAGUCAGAUAGAAACCGUCAAACGUUAGAAACGAAACGUCAAACACUACAAAACAAAUGAAGUUAAACGUUUGAAUUGCUGAAAUUGUAAAAAUCGAUUGCAGCAGCUACUACGGUUGCUUAAUCUUUAUAUAAUUUUUGUAUCCUGUCCAAUAAAGCACUCCCAAUCGAAUAGAUUUCUGUGGAAUUAUUUUUCUCAAUUCAACUUAGGUCUCCGGUUUGAAGAGCACAGAUUUUUAACGAGUGAUAGGCGGACUAUUUUAUGUGUGGGGAUUUAAAGUGUGGAGGCAAAGGUUGUGAGCCACUGGCCUGAAUAUUGAAAUCACUUGUUGAGUGUCGAGGUGAAGCUCGAAUGAAAGAAGUUUUUGACUUAUAAAUCUCCACACCACGAGCCUGCAUAUUGGGAAUGGAUGAAGUCAUCGGAUUACUUGUGGGUUGAUCAUUACUUACAUUUAUAUUUUUCUCGCCAAACCAAGACGUAUCUCUUUCCCACCAGACACUUUUCCUCUCUAUGUUGGCUUCUCCAACACCAUCGUGUAUAGAUUGAAAAAUUUAUUUAUGUAUAAAAUUACUACAGCGCGUGGCGUGCGGGGGAGAUGUGAUUGUGGGAAAAAUGAGGGAGAAAAACGGUGCUAAAUAGGUAUAAGUUUUUUUCUAAUUCUUCAAGGACCCACACAUGACUCUCUAUUGUAGAAAAAAAAGUUGGUUUUUUGCGGGAAUCGUGCAAAAACAUCUCCAACAUCUCUGAUGUAUGAGUGGGGUGUUAAUUGAUAAGGUGCUCUUUUCCACGCAAAUAUUCUCCAAACUGCACGGAUUUUCUUAUCACAAACUGUGGGAGGUUUUUCUUGUUCGCCUCGUUUAUGGUCUCUCUCCUCCCUAUCUCUGCUAUCGGACAAUGUGUGAAAGAAAAUACCAAAGCACACUGGUACGUAAACUUGUGAUUAAACAUUGAUAUCUUCGCACAUGAUAUUUUUUUUACUUCUUUUCUGCUAACAAUGCGCGAUAAAAGGUCAGAAAAAUUACGUUUUUUUCUUUCUUAAAUAUUUUUCUGAUAAAUUGAGUGAAAAUCCCAAAAGAAAUACCUUCAACACUUUCUCAUUUCCCUCUUUGUCAUCUCCCAGCCAAAUUAGCCACUUUUUCUUUCCAUCUCUGCAUUCAGAGAUGCAGAAAAAAACGUGUUUUAGUUUUACAACAUUUAUUUUUUUCAUCUGUAAAAGAAGAAACAAAAAGAGUUUCUUCUUUCGCUUCAUUUGAAAGAAAUCGCAGCUAAAAAACACACCACAAGGCAGCGAAAUAAAUAUUUUUUAAAAAAAAGUUUAAUGCCCACGUUGGGAGGCACGAAAAAUUCGUGAUAGACAAAUGAGGAGGAUUUUGAUAGUAGGCGGUAGUUUUGGUCUCAAAAUGGUGAAUGUGCACAUAAACCUCUCACAGGUAAAGUAAACCUGAUGAUUAUUUUUUUUGGCAUCAAGCAUUGCCAUUGAUGGACAAACGAAUGAAUUUUAAAAGGAAAUUUUUUAACGUGAUUAUGAGGAGAUGAUUAGGCAUGGCAAAUUUCUUACAAAGAGAAUUAAGAUACUUACUAAUUAUAGUAGCAAAAAUGAAUGAAUGAAAUGAUGAUAAAAAUGUUCUUGUUAAAAAAGAAAAA